GGUUUGUUUUGUUUGCUUGUUUUGAAUUCUAGUGGAUACAUCAUUAUGUAAUGAAUGAGAACUCAGGUUAGGAUAAACUAAUUUCAAAUAUCUGCCGUAUCAAUUUCUUGGUAUUUGAUUUGCCUACCGUAAAGAUUACGGGUAACGGGGAAUAAGGUUUCGCUUCUGAAAUGGCUACCACAUCCAAGGACUGCAGCAGUCGCGAAAAUUACCCGCUACUGGCACGGGGAGUUAGUGACAAAAAACACAGAUACGGGACUCAAUUAAGGCUCUGUAGUUCGAAUGAUUACAAUUUAAAUCCAUUAUGAAAUAUGAAAACC
rfam:Schistosoma mattheei strain Denwood, Zambia genome assembly, scaffold: SMTD_scaffold0013786